rnacentral:rRNA from 1 species
GUUGAUCGCAUGGUGUUCUGGGAAAGCCUUUGCGGCAUGGGAUGGGGUCGCGUCCUAUCAGCUUGAUGGCGGGGUAACGGCCCACCAUGGCUUCGACGGGUAGCCGGCCUGAGAGGGCGACCGGCCACAUUGGGACUGAGAUACGGCCCAGACUCCUACGGGAGGCAGCAGUGGGGAAUAUUGCACAAUGGGCGCAAGCCUGAUGCAGCGACGCCGCGUGAGGGAUGGAGGCCUUCGGGUUGUAAACCUCUUUUGUUAGGGAGCAAGGCAUUUUGUGUUGAGUGUACCUUUCGAAUAAGCACCGGCUAACUACGUGCCAGCAGCCGCGGUAAUACGUAGGGUGCAAGCGUUAUCCGGAAUUAUUGGGCGUAAAGGGCUCGUAGGCGGUUCGUCGCGUCCGGUGUGAAAGUCCAUCGCUUAACGGUGGAUCCGCGCCGGGUACGGGCGGGCUUGAGUGCGGUAGGGGAGACUGGAAUUCCCGGUGUAACGGUGGAAUGUGUAGAUAUCGGGAAGAACACCA